UCGCUCCGGCUUCCAGACAGGAUCCACGCAUCCCGACGUCUUGAAAAGAUCGUUGUGAAAAGUUCUCCCAUCUUCCGAGUGCUGGUGCCAGAGCGGUCCCGGUUCGCUUCCAUAGUUAAGAAGAUGUACAUGGAUCAGGCCGCUGAGAUGGCAGAAAUGUUAGAGGGAGCUGGGCAGGAGCCGG